rnacentral:rRNA from 1 species
CCUGACUGCUAUCGGAUUGAUACUAAGCCAUGCGAGUCUUUGUAGUAAUACAAGGCAGACGGCUCAGUAACACGUAGUCAACCUACCCUAUGGACAAGAAUAAUCUCGGGAAACUGGGCAUAAUUCUUGAUAGAUCAUAAUGCCUGGAAUGGUUUAUGGUUAAAAUGAUUCGUCGCCAUAGGAUGGGACUGCGGCCUAUCAGCUUGUUGGUGAGGUAAUGGCCCACCAAGGCGAUUACAGGUACGGGCUCUGAGAGGAGAAGCCCGGAGAUGGGUACUGAGACACGGACCCAGGCCCUAUGGGGCGCAGCAGGCGAGAAAACUUUGCAAUGUGCGAAAGCACGACAAGGUUAAUCCGAGUGAUUUCUGCUAAAGAAAUCUUUUGCCAGUCAUAAAACCACUGGUGAAUAAGGGGUGGGCAAGUUCUGGUGUCAGCCGCCGCGGUAAAACCAGCACCUCAAGUGGUCAGGAUGAUUAUUGGGCCUAAAGCAUCCGUAGCCGGCUUUGUUAGUUUUCGGUUAAAUCCAUGUGCUCAACGCAUGGGCUGCCGAAAAUACUGCAUAGCUAGGGAGUGGGAGAGGUAGACGGUACUCAGUAGGAAGGGGUAAAAUCCUUUGAUCUAUUGAUGACCACCUGUGGCGAAGGCGGUCUACCAGAACACGUUCGACGGUGAGGGAUGAAAGCUGGGGGAGCAAACCGGAUUAGAUACCCGGGUAGUCCCAGCUGUAAACGAUGCAGACUCGAUGAUGCAUUGGCAUAAUAGCCAGUGCAGUGUCGCAGGGAAGCCGUUAAGUCUGCCGCCUGGGAAGUACGUACGCAAGUAUGAAACUUAAAGGAAUUGGCGGGGGAGCACCACCAAGGGGUGAAGCCUGCGGUUC